rnacentral:lncRNA from 1 species
AUAAUAUGUAAAUUUAACCUGUAAACUUUUUGUGUGCACAUAAUUAGGUACAUUUUUGACUAGUUUUUUGUAAUUAAUAGGGGGGUGCUAGUUGUUGUUUUUUUUUAAUAAAAUAGGAUUUCAAAUAAAUAUUAAAUACAUAAUGGAUAAUAAUAAUUGAGAAUAAGUCAAGUUUUUAAAAUUUAAUAGAGAAGAGAAAUAAGGGUAUAACAGGGUUGUCAACAAGAGUAAUUUUCAAAGUUAAAAGGUUUUUUUUUAUAAACAAAAUUUAAUUAAAAGAGUUUCUGACCGACUCAUAUCUAGCGUUUUCUGUAUAUCUCCAGUA